rnacentral:rRNA from 1 species
AUUGAACGCUGGCGGCAUGCUUUACACAUGCAAGUCGAACGGCAGCGCGGGCUUCGGCCUGGCGGCGAGUGGCGAACGGGUGAGUAAUGCAUCGGAACGUGCCCAGUAGUGGGGGAUAGCCCGGCGAAAGCCGGAUUAAUACCGCAUACGACCUGAGGGUGAAAGCGGGGGACCGAAAGGCCUCGCGCUAUUGGAGCGGCCGAUGUCGGAUUAGCUAGUUGGUGGGGUAAAGGCUUACCAAGGCGACGAUCCGUAGCUGGUCUGAGAGGACGACCAGCCACACUGGGACUGAGACACGGCCCAGACUCCUACGGGAGGCAGCAGUGGGGAAUUUGGACAAUGGGGGCAACCCUGAUCCAACCAUGCCGCGUGCGGGAAGAAGGCCUUCGGGUUGUAAACCGCUUUUGUUCGGGAAGAAAUCCUCUGGGCUAAUACCCCGGGGGGAUGACGGUACCGGAAGAAUAAGCACCGGCUAACUACGUG